AUUGAACGCUGGCGGCAUGCCUUACACAUGCAAGUCGAACGGCAGCACGGGAGCAAUCCUGGUGGCGAGUGGCGAACGGGUGAGUAAAGUAUCGGAACGUGCCCAGUCGUGGGGGAUAACGUAGCGAAAGUUACGCUAAUACCGCAUACGAUCUAUGAAUGAAAGCGGGGGAUCGCAAGACCUCGCGCGAUUGGAGCGGCCGAUAUCAGAUUAGGUAGUUGGUGGGGUAAAGGCUCACCAAGCCGACGAUCUGUAGCUGGUCUGAGAGGACGACCAGCCACACUGGGACUGAGACACGGCCCAUACUCCUACGGGAGGCAGCAGUGGGGAAUUUUGGACAAUGGGCGAAAGCCUGAUCCAGCCAUGCCGCGUGCAGGAUGAAGGCCUUCGGGUUGUAAACUGCUUUUGUACGUAACGAAAAGGUUUGGCCUAAUAAGCUGAGCUCAUGACGGUACCGUAAGAAUAAGCACCGGCUAACUACGUGCCAGCCGCCGCCGUAA
rnacentral:rRNA from 1 species